GGAGUUAGCCGGGGUUUCGUUUACCAGGUACUGUCAUUAUCAUCCCUGGCGAAAGAGCUUUACGAUCCUAAGACCUUCAUCACUCACGCGGCAUGGCUAGAUCAGGCUUUCGCCCAUUGUCUAAGAUUCCCCA
rnacentral:rRNA from 1 species